AUCAUCCAUAAGUGUGUCAAGGCC
rnacentral:siRNA from 1 species